rnacentral:rRNA from 1 species
AGUGAACGCUGGCGGUAGGCCUAACACAUGCAAGUCGAACGGCAGCACAGUAAGAGCUUGCUCUUACGGGUGGCGAGUGGCGGACGGGUGAGGAAUACAUCGGAAUCUACUUUUUCGUGGGGGAUAACGUAGGGAAACUUACGCUAAUACCGCAUACGACCUACGGGUGAAAGCAGGGGAUCCUCGGACCUUGCGCGAUUGAAUGAGCCGAUGUCGGAUUAGCUAGUUGGCGGGGUAAAGGCCCACCAAGGCGACGAUCCGUAGCUGGUCUGAGAGGAUGAUCAGCCACACUGGAAAGGAGACACGGUCCAGACUCCUACGGGAGGCAGCAGUGGGGAAUAUUGGACAAGGGGCGCAAGCCUGAUCCAGCCUUACCGCGUGGGUGAAGAAGGCCUUCGGGGUGUAAAGCCCUUUUGUUGGGAAAGAAAAGCAGCAGGUUAAUACCCCGCUGUUCUGACGGUACCCAAAGAAUAAGCACCGGCUAACUUCG